rnacentral:snRNA from 11 species
AGCUUUGCGCAGUGGCAGUAUUGUAGCCAAUGAGGUUUAUCUGAGGCGCGAUUAUUGCUAAUUGAAACCAUCACUCAUUUUCAUAACUUUCUGUCUUAUAAAACCGAAACUGUAUUAUCUGUUAAAACAGUUUAUUU